rnacentral:rRNA from 1 species
CGCAUGCCCGUAGCGGCGAGUGAAGCGGCAAAAGCUCAGAUUUGGAAUCGCUUCGGCGAGUUGUGAAUUGCAGGUUGGCGCCUCUGCGGCGGCGGCGGUCCAAGUCCCUUGGAACAGGGCGCCAUUGAGGGUGAGAGCCCCGUGGGACCGUUUGCCUAUGCUCUGAGGCCCUUCUGACGAGUCGAGUUGUUUGGGAAUGCAGCUCUAAGCGGGUGGUAAAUUCCAUCUAAGGCUAAAUACUGGCGAGAGACCGAUAGCGAACAAGUACUGUGAAGGAAAGAUGAAAAGCACUUUGAAAAGAGAGUGAAACAGCACGUGAAAUUGUUGAAAGGGAAGGGUAUUGCGCCCGACAUGGAGCGUGCGCACCGCUGCCCCUCGUGGGCGGCGCUCUGGGCGUGCUCUGGGCCAGCAUCGGUUUUUGCCGCGGGAGAAGGGCGGCGGGCAUGUAGCUCUUCGGAGUGUUAUAGCCUGCCGCCGGCGCCGCGAGCGGGGACCGAGGACUGCGACUUUUGUCUCGGAUGCUGGCACAACGGCGCAACACCGCCCGUCUUGAAACAUGGACCAAGGAGUCUAACGUCUAUGCGAGUGUUUGGGUGUGAAACCCCGGGCGCGUAAUGAAAGUGAACGUAGGUCGGACCGCUCCUCUCGGGGGGCGGGCACGAUCGACCGAUCCUGAUGUCUUCGGAUGGAUUUGAGUAAGAGCAUAGCUGUUGGGACCCGAAAGAUGGUGAACUAUGCCUGAUAGGGGAAAACCCCCAGAGAAUUAAUGUUU